CUUGGACAGCCCUCUGCUAGCUACCCAGCUCUUGAAGCUAGGCCUAACAGGCAUCCCAGAGCCCAGCACAAGGCCCCUCUUGGCACCAAGGGGAGAAUAACCAUGCAAGGGCCAGAGAUGUGGUUUUUGUUCCGGUGAAGCUUUGGGAAAAAACCCACAUCAGGCCCCUCUCUCUCUGGCCAUAUAAACUUGGAGUCUCCAGCCUCCACAGUGGGCACAGUGGUGCUUUAAUAAUUGCUCUUUCUCUUAAGCAGGUUCCAUUUUAACUGACCACCUUCUUGACAAAUAUUGAGCCACAGAAUGUUCUUGACGAGUGGCAACCUAAGAGUGCCAUCAGCAGUGGAGGGUCUCAAGUCUUCCAUUCCAGACCCACGGCCAGAGCAGGCAGGUCCAGGAGGGGCAGGCACGGGACUGGCCGCUUCCCAGACAUCCAUGAAUAGAUGUGGCCUCCUGUGAGUCUUCCCUUACCAUCUGCGGUGUCAGCUUCAGGGCUCCAGGGCUCCAGGGAGAACCUGAGGCCUUGAAGGAGCAGGCUGGUGAGCCCCAGCAUUCACUAACCACGACAUCUGCCAACAAACUUCACCCAUCAGUGGCUCUCAAGUCUGGCUGCACAUGAGAACCACCCGGGGCGGCAAUGCUGCUGCCACCUUGGAAGGUUGCUGUGUACUGAAUCGAGGUAAUGCGUAUUCAAUACUUGGCACUUAGUAAAUACAGCAGGUCCUCAAAUAAUGUUGUUUUUCUUCUUUUCUUUUUUGAGACGGAGUAUCGCUCUUGUCACCCAGGCCAGACUGCAGUAGCAUGAUCUCAGCUCACUGCAACCUCCACCCUCCAGGUUCAAGUGAUUCUCCUGCCUCAGCCUCCCAAGUAUCUGGGACAUAGGCAUGCACCACCACGCCUGGCUAAUUUUUGUAUUUUAGUAGAUUUUGUAUUUUUAGUAGGUUUUGCCAUGUUGGCCAGGCUGGUCUUGAACACCUGACUUCAGAUGAUUCACCCGCCUUGGCUUCCCAAGUGCUGGGAUUACAGGCAUGAGCCACCAUGCCCGGCCAAAUAACACUUAGUUCAACGUUAUUUUCUUACAAAAUUGAUGAGAAAAGAAAAAUCAAUUCCAGCUGGGGCCACUGUCUAUGUGGAAUUGGCACAUGCUCCUCACAUCCGCGUGGGUUUUCUAAAAAGUCUUCAUGUGGGGCAGAGUGUUCCUUCCAGACAAGCCAUCUCUGAAUCCAAGUAUGAAGUGAGAUUCAGACAGGACAGCCCGUACAGUCAUCUGUAGGAUUCGAGCCAGAUGGCAGGAGUGAGAAUGACCUUUGAUGUGGAUGGUUGGCAGACACCCAGCAAGAGACCCCUCCUCGCCCCCAGAGACUUCCCCAUGGAGCUGCAUCUCCCAGCAGAGGAAAGCCCAAGUCAUAUUUUCUGUGAGUUGCUGUUUAGAUUGGAGUUUUAAUAAGAAUCACACACAUGGCUGAGGACAGAAUAAAGAAAUACGAAGAAUGAGGACUGGAGAGGUUGGGAUAAAGAGAGUGUGAUGUGGCUGCAGUUACCCUCAUCCCUUCAAUGAGGAAAGUGGACGAGGAUGACCUCUAAGUUCCUUCUAGCUUCAACGGAUUAUUUAUGAAAUAUUUCAACGAGAUGUGACAAUGAGAAUGUGCUCAACUGUCUCCAGUGGUAAAAAGAAAGAAACCCUGAUUCUAUGACUGAUGCAAGAUAUGUGAGUUUCUCACCUGCUGUCAGCAUCCAGGCCGUAUCUACCCUGUCCCUUUCACACCUGGGCAGAACUGUAAGGAGCUCCGAGCCUGUGUCCCUGACUGUGGGAGGUUCCCCCAUGAGGCUCUGAUGUGGAAGAGAACUCUGCAAGAAGGAUGGAGUCCAUUUUUCCAGAAAGGUGCUGGAGGAGACAUCUAGCUUUGGGGAGCUAACAUCCUUAAAUAAAUUUCUUUUCUGCUUGAACUGGCUAGCUAGAGGGGUUUCUGUUGUUUGCAACUGAGAACCCUGGCAGAGCUAUCUAUUCAGACGGUUUUCAUUAAUUUAUGUCAGAAAUGCUCAAACUUUUUAGUCUCAUGAUCUCUUUACUGGAUUAAAAAAUUAUCAUGAACUCUGAAAAGCUUUUGUUUAGUUAGGCUAUAUUUAUCAAUAUUUACCAUACUAUAUCUUAAGAUUUAAGAAAGUAUGUAUCUAUUAAUUCAUUUCAAAAUAACAAUAAUAAACCUAUUUCACAUCAACAGAAAUAAUAAAAUUUUAUGAAAAAUGUUUCUAAAACAAAAAAAUUAGUGAGAAGUGUAACAUUAAUUUUUAUUUUUGCCAGUCUCUUUGAUGUCUGAAUAAGUAGAGGUGAGUUCAAUUUUCUUAUCUUCUAAAUUUAAUCUGUUGCAAUAUGUUUUGUUGUUUUGGUUGACAUAUAUAAAGAAAAUCUGGUCUUACAUAUUACUAGCUUUUCAGAUAAUUCCAGAUAAUUCUUCUUUGAUAUUACACCAAAACUUGACAAGUAGCACUUUCUUAAAUGUUAGUUGCAAUGUGGAAUCUAAAACCAUUAUCAAUGAACUUUUCAUACUCUGUUACAUUACAAUGUAUUGGUAUCUCUUUCACUUUGAUGAGAUCACUUACCCACACACAAUUUUGAAACAUCAUACAUUGGUCAUGUGGAAAAUAUACUUUCAACAUUUUAUUAUAGGAUAUUAAAAAAUUAUAUCCAUUACUGUUAUCUCCAAUUUCAUCAAUCAC
rnacentral:lncRNA from 1 species